UCGUGCUAGACGGGGAGCUAGCGGUGCCCUGUACCCGCAAUCCGCUAUAGCGGGGUUGAACUCCCGCUCGAGGUCUGGGCUCUGCAGGGACUGCUCUUGAUAAGCGGCGUUGAGGACCCGGCCCUGCGCGGCGAGGCGCCAUGAACCCCGUCAGGCCCGGAAGGGAGCAGCGGUAAGUGGUUAGCUUCGGGCGCCGCGGGCAAACCGGGUUGGAGUUGGCUGUCGGGGUAAGCCUGUGGGGCCGGAUCGACAGCGGGUGCACGA
rnacentral:SRP_RNA from 1 species